UGUAUCAAAAGACAAUAGAAGAUUUAAAUGCACAGUAAAACGUUCAAGCGUGUUCUAACAGAGUGAAAUGAAUUGUUUCAGAGUUAAUUUGAGACUUCACUGUUUACAGCACUUACUGUAACUGUGUGAGGCUAUUGACACAAAUAUACAUUUGAUUUGUUUCUCUUUGUGGCUCAUGGUGUAACAUGCCAAACUGUAUUUAAUUCCAUACAGCCACCUAAGAAACAAUUCAAUUUCUAUAACAUGUUGGACUGCAUGUACUACUUAUAGAUGUAAAUUCAGUUUUAAAGAAAACCAGCUUUCUAAUGCAUUUGUCUAAACAAAUAUCCUACUAGCUGAAAAACUGCAGAGCACAAGGAUAAUACUUUUUGUAUGUUAGUUUUUUUCUUCAGGUUAGUAACUUCCUGUCUUCUUUCCUGUCAUGAUGUUCUGUAGCGCUGAGUUUUCACAUCACAUAGAUCACAGAGAAGAAGCCAUAGACAUGAGCACUUGUGAUUUGAUUUUACUUCUAUUGUACUUUGGCUCCCAGCAGACAGCAUUUGUAAAGGGAGCUGAUGUCAUCCAGACACCCAGGCAGGCUGUGAUGAAGACUGGGGAAUCAGUCAAGAUCUCCUGCUCUCACAAGGACAGCAGUUUACACUAUUUAUACUGGUACUGGCAGCUGCCUGGCAAAGGCAUCGAGUUAAUCGCAUAUAUUCUCACAAAUCAGGAGGCAACAUUUGAAAAAGACUUCAGCAACAGAACAGAAAGAUAUGAAAUAAAGAAGCCAGAGACACUGUUUGGAUCAUUCAGGAUCAAAGCCUUGCAGAUAUCAGACAGUGCUGUGUACUUCUGUGCAGCAACCCAGCACAGUGGGGCAGCAUUGCCUCUUCCAUGAACAAAAAGUAAUGCAGGGAGAAGGCCUACCAGUAGGGGGAGUCAUUACUAGCAACAUGAGGCCACAAAUGAAAUGUGUGUGACCACAGGGCUCAAAAGAGAGCUGAGAUGAGCUGAGAGCUUCAAGAGUGCCAGUCUGCUGGGUUUGCUCGCAUUCAGAAACACAGGAACGCUCCUUUCUGUGACAUGAUUAAUGUGAAGACCCUGAAUUUUUCUAAAAAGGAGAGAGUCUGCUUUAUACUCCACGUCCACAUAAUGUCUCUGUUAGGGUUCUCAGGAGCCAUCACUGUACAGCAGUCCCCAUCUUCUCUCUUUAGAAAACUCAAUGAUGAUGUCCAGCUCACCUGCCAACAUGAUGAUAGCACCUAUUACACAAUGCUGUGGUACCAGCAAGCUAAAGGAAAACA